AUUGAUGUUCCCGAUAAAUUGAAUACCGAUUGGUAUGUAUUUGCUAGGCCUGCUGGAAAACGAUGUUUCGUUGUUUCUUCAAAUGGAACAACAAUCAGUAGACUGCGCAAUGGAGUUCUCUUGCACCGUUUUCCUUCUGCUCUACCCAAUGGUGCCAGGACUAAUAACAGUAAAGCUGCUCAAUCAUACUGUAUUCUUGAUUGCAUAUUUCACGAGUCUGAUGAGACUUAUUAUGUCAUUGACGGUGUUUGUUGGGCGGGAAUUUCAUUAUAUGAGUGCACUGCCGAAUUCAGAUUCUUUUGGUUAAACAGCAAGCUUGCUGAGACGGGGGCUUGUGAUGUUCCCUCAGCUUAUCAUAAAUAUAAAUUUAGUGCUCUUCCUGUCUACAACUGUGACAAAGAAGGACUACAGACAGCUUAUGCAGGACAAGUUCCAUAUGUCAAGGAUGGAUUACUUUUUUACAAUAAGCAUGCACAAUAUCAAACAGGAAAUACACCUCUAUCAUUGGUUUGGAAGGAUGAACAUUGUAGUCAGUAUGUCAUUGAUACAGACAAUAAAGGACAAGUUCAAAGUCAACAACAGCUAGUUUUGGAGCUCCUGGAUGAUGGCAGACUGGCUACAUCUGAUGACCCUCCUGUCAUAUUUGGUUGCUUACUUGGUGAAUUCAUGCAAAAGACAGCACUUCACCGUGGAGAUCUUAUAAAAUUUGCUAUAGGUGAAGGAGGAUUAGUUGUUGUUGACAGUAAACUGGAGAAGGCUGAUCUAAAAUACCUGGGCAAAUCCAAUCGUGCACGUGCUUUUGCUGAUAGUUACUCGAAGGUCUUGUUCCAGCACGCAGCUCGGUAUUCUCCUCUGAGAAUUGAGUAUCUUUUUGCAUCAAUCAGUUCGUAUGUUGAAGGUGGAAAUUCAACUCAAGAUGCAGAGAUGGCUGGUUAAAGGUGCAAUGUGCAGGAAACACUUUUCAACUAAGCAUAUAAACUUGCAUGGUCAUGAAAUUAACUGAGUGAUGGGCAUGAUCAUUCUGACCUAUGCUUUUUCUUGUUUGGAACGUGCAUAUCUCACCAUGAAAGUAACAUUUUUGUGUCAUGUAAGAUGAGGAUAAUGGUGCGAAAGAAUACAGUGUUUUGA
rnacentral:misc_RNA from 1 species